rnacentral:rRNA from 1 species
GAUGAACGCUGGCGGCGUGCUUAACACAUGCAAGUCGAACGGAAAGGCUCCUGCUUGCAGGGGUACUCGAGUGGCGAACGGGUGAGUAACACGUGGGUGAUCUGCCCUGCACUUCGGGAUAAGCCUGGGAAACUGGGUCUAAUACCGGAUAGGACGAUGGUUUGGAUGCCAUUGUGGAAAGUUUUUUCGGUGUGGGAUGAGCUCGCGGCCUAUCAGCUUGUUGGUGGGGUAAUGGCCUACCAAGGCGUCGACGGGUAGCCGGCCUGAGAGGGUGUACGGCCACAUUGGGACUGAGAUACGGCCCAGACUCCUACGGGAGGCAGCAGUGGGGAAUAUUGCAGAAUGGGCGCAAGCCUGAUGCAGCGACGCCGCGUGGGGGAUGACGGCCUUCGGGUUGUAAACUCCUUUCGCUAGGGACGAAGCGCAAGUGACGGUACCUGGAGAAGAAGCACCGGCUAACUACGUG